rnacentral:rRNA from 1 species
AACGACUCUCGGCAACGGAUAUCUCGGCUCUUGCAUCGAUGAAGAACGUAGCGAAAUGCGAUACUUGGUGUGAAUUGCAGAAUCCCGCGAACCAUCAAUUCUUUGAACGCAAGUUGCGCCCGAAGCCGUCCGGCCGAGGGCACGCCUGCCUGGGUGUCGUGA